CGCAAAUGGCAAUGAAUGGUCCAUGUAUGUAUGUGUUAUAUUGAUCAAUUGCUGGUCCACUGUUUGGUUUAGUUUAUUUUUUCCGUUCAAAUCAAUUUUGCAGUUAAGUUCAUAAAGUUGUAAUCAAAUAUCAAAUUUGUCUCUUACUCUUUUUCUUUAAUCUUUAUUAUUUUUUUGCGCUUCACAAAUCGUGUGCUCUUUGUUAUUUGUUUUUUCCAUUAUUAUUAUUAAAUAAUGUUUAGUGUAUAUGUAAAAUUCGUUAACGAACUCUGUAAAGAAAAACCAUAACAAUUGUAAAUUUGCAUACAGCUGCAACAACAAAUGAAACAAAUUUAGCGAAAAGGGCCAAACAACAACAAAAGUUAAAU